GAGUAUGGGCUCUUGGGGGCGCGCGUGUGUGCGUGGGCGCGCAUGUGUAUGGGCUCUUGUGAGCACGCGUGUGUGCGUGGGUUCUUGUGGGUGCGCGUGUGUGCGUGUGUGUGCGCGUGUGUAUGGGCUCUUGUGGGCGCGCAUGUGUGCGUGGGCGUGCGUGUGUGCGUGGGUUCUUGUGGGGGCGCGCGUGUGUGCGGGCGUGCGUGUGUGCGUGGGCUCUUAGGGGCGCGCGUGUGUCCGUGGGCGCGCGUGUGUGCGUGGGCUCUUAGGGGCACGCGUGUGUGCGGGCGCGCGUGUGUGCGUGGGCGUGCGCGUGUGCGUGGGUGUGCGCGUGCGCGUGUACUGCGGCCGGGAGUCCGCUGGGUUCCUUCCCGUGCUGCUCUACCCCCAGGAGGAGCAGGAAGAGAGAAGGAGCAGGCACUCCCUGCAGAACGGCCGUAACCCCUGGGGUUGCCGGUGUCCCAGGGGCCGGCCUGGCCCCACGCUGCAAUGGUGGAGCUGCGUCACCCCACACGCUGGGUUUCCCCGACCUAGUGGCGCCCGGCCGGGUUGGGACAGGUGUGGGUGAGGGCGGGGCGGCCAGGGGAGGAGACGGGAACCGCACCUGACAUAACACGCUUUUUCUCUUCUAAGCUUCCUAGGACUCCAGAAAGCACAGUCCUCUCUGUCCAGAGGACGGAACAGGUUUGAGGAGGUGACAUCGCUUGGCACGUGGCCAAGCCCCAUGGGGCUCGAGAUCAAAUCAGCCCGAGGUCCCACGCGCGUUAAACUGCUCAGGCUGGCGCGGUGGACGUUUUAAACGUCUGUGUUUCCCU